rnacentral:sRNA from 1 species
GCUUUCUGGGAUCUGGCUACGGCAGAAAAGACAUCGGCUCCAACAAGGGUGUUCCACAGGGUAGCUGGGAGUUGGAAGAGCCAAGAACGCCUCCGAGCUCUGGAUUUGAGCUUCUCUGCCCAUGGGUGCAGCAUCCAUGCUCAGCUUGUGAGCUUCUUCCCGGGAGAGCAGCCAUGGCACUGAGGAAUGUGCCCUUUCGCUCAGAGGUCCUGGGCUGGGACCCCGACAGCCUUGCUGACUAUUUCAAGAAGCUCAACUAUAAGGACUGUGAGAAGGCAGUGAAGAAGUACCACAUCGAUGGGGCUCGCUUCUUGAACCUGACAGAAAAUGACAUCCAGAAGUUCCCCAAGCUCCGGGUGCCGUAAGUACUCCUCCAACUCUAUGGGUGAUCUGGGAGCAGAGGUGGGAAUGGGGAGUAGUGUGAGUGGGGGCUGGGUCAGUUCUAUGUCAUUGUUGGCUUGAAAUAAGAAAGCAAGUAGGAAGGAUGAGGGCAAGGGCAGGAUGUGGGGAACAGAAGUUACAUGAAGAGCUGGAAAACAGAAGUCACAGAUCCAGCCCAGCUGGUGACCUGGGUGCUGUUGCCAAAAACAAGCCCAACUCUGGCCCAUGUUUUC